rnacentral:misc_RNA from 1 species
GAUGAAGAACGUAGCGAAAUGCGAUAAGUAAUGUGAAUUGCAGAAUUCAGUUAAUCAUCGAAUCUUUGAACGCACAUUGCGCCCCUUGGUAUUCCGAGGGGCAUGCCUGUUCGAGCGUCAUUAUAACCCCUCAAGCUCAGCUUGGUGUUGGGGCCUGCUGCACUGGCAGCCCUUAAAAUCAGUGGCGGCGCCAUCUGGCUCUAAGCGUAGUAAUUCUUCUCGCUAUGGAGUCCUGGUGGAUGCUUGCCAUCAACCCCCAAUUUUUCUAUGGUUGACCUCGGAUCAGGUAGGGAUACCCGCUGAACUUAAGCAUAUCAAUAAGCGGAGGA